CGGAAGUUUAAUAUAUGUGGGAUGUUACGGAGGUGUGGUGCUACGGCUCACUCUUGGCAGCUACGCGUACAGCGGCGGACAACCAGCUCUUGGCAUGUUAAACGGCUCUCACACGGGGUACGCCGCCAUGUGGCCGCCCGGGUGGUUGCGCUGCUCUCUUGAUCGUGCUCUGCUUCGUUCGCCAGUUUCAUGCAUGUUGGCGCUGGCCCCGAUCGAACGCUGCUCCGGCCGUCCGGCGACGAAUUCUUUCCGCCAUGAAGAUGCAUGUACAUGCAAUUCUCCUAUGGCAAGGCACGAGUAUAUGGCGUAAAGCACCUUGACACAUAUGUGAGUCAUACUAUUUUUCAGAUUAUCAUAAUAUCACGAAAGUUAUGAGCAGAGUUAAAUUCUUUGCUCAUGUGAGCUAAGAAAGCACAUUGGUUCCAUCAUUCACCUUCUUUCAAUUAUUAAAUCCCCUGACUAUGAAUGCAUCAGAGCCACAUCUUCCAUUUGUUUUUUUUAAGAGAAAACAAGGUAGUCAGUAUGCACGAUAUGUUUCUUUCGAAUACUCUAGCCAAGGAAAAGAUUUUAAACAGCAAUAUUGAAAUCGAUGGUGAUUUUUUCCUGUUUCAUUGUAUGAAUAUUUUUCCAUGUAUGGCUGUUAGGCUUCCUUCAAAAUAUAGAAGCGGCGUGCUUCUUCUUGCUUAUCAUGAGGGAGUUCCUAAAUUUGAUGACGCAUACCGGGGUCCCUUACAUAUUUUGUGCUUUCAAUUGUACCUUCUCCUCCUAUAAUUUCUUCCCGUGUCACAAUCUGUUGGUCGUCAGUUUGCAUAUCAAUAGGAAUAUCAUUUGUUGUGUUAUCUCCUACAGGUUGCUCCUCAGGUUCGGCAUCAGUAAUGUUGGAGCUUGAAGUCGCCCCGACUGGCUUGAAAAAGGAACUUAUCCCCCUAGCUGUUUGUGUCUUUCGCUUCCUCAUUAACUACUACUCCCUUCGUUCCUAAAUAUAAAUCCUUUUAGAAGUUUCACUAGAAGAUUAUAUACGGAUGUAUAUAAACAUACUUUAGAAUGUAGAUUCACUCAUUUUACUUUGUAUGUAGUCUCCUACUGAAAUCUUUAAAAAGACUUAUAUUUCGGAACGAAGGGAAUAUAUAGAACGAAAAACAUGAUAAAUGGAUUAAUUCACUAUUUUGUACACAUCCCUAAUACAUCAGAUUAGAAUUGUAAUCAGGUACGAGUACGUACAUUACCUACUAUAUAGAACGAAAAACAUGAUUAACGAAUUAAUUUACUACUUUAUACACAUCUCUAAUGCAUCAAACUUCACUAGUACCCUUUUUAUUGAUCUUCCGGUAAAGCCACCUUCUUCUCCUGCAGACUUAGACAAUGGACAAACAACAAAAGCGGCUGCGACAGCGAGUCGGCGCAACCGACGGCUGGACGGCUGCGGCAGCAAGGAAAACGACGCACGAGGAAACGAUCAGGAGAUUAGAUCGAUCAAUCCCAUGUGGUUAUAGGGCAAACUAACAACACAAGGCAGCCACGUAAAUGUGCUUCAAACGUGUAUUCUAUUUCUACGCGGCACUUCGUUUAUUUGUAAUUCUUCAACCGUGACAACGAUUCACUCGCAAGUCGCAACGUAUCUGGGCAACAUGUUCGUUUCUGACAGUAUAAAUUGAAAAGUUACCAUCCAUCAAUAACGAUUACACAUAUUCACU
rnacentral:lncRNA from 1 species